CCUACGGGAGGCAGCAGUGAGGAAUAUUGGUCAAUGGCCGUAAGGCUGAACCAGCCAAGUCGCGUGAAGGAAGAAGGAUCUAUGGUUUGUAAACUUCUUUUAUAGGGGAAUAAAGGUAUCCACGUGUGGAUAUUUGCAUGUACCCUAUGAAUAAGCAUCGGCUAACUCCGUGCCAGCAGCCGCGGUAAUACGGAGGAUGCGAGCGUUAUCCGGAUUUAUUGGGUUUAAAGGGUGCGUAGGUUGUUUUUUAAGUUAGCGGUGAAAGUUUGUGGCUCAACCAUAAAAUUGCCGUUGAAACUGGCAGACUUGAGUGUGUUUGAGGUAGGCGGAAUGCGUGGUGUAGCGGUGAAAUGCAUAGAUAUCACGCAGAACUCCGAUUGCGAAGGCAGCUUACUAAGCCAUAACUGACACUGAAGCACGAAAGCGUGGGGAUCAAACAGGAUUAGAUACCCCGGUAGUC
rnacentral:rRNA from 1 species